UACGGAGGGUGCGAGCGUUGUCCGGAAUCACUGGGCGUAAAGGGCGCGUAGGCGGCCUGAUAAGUAGGGGGUGAAAUCCUGCGGCUUAACCGCAGGGCUGCCUUCUAAACUGUCAGGCUUGAGCACAGUAGAGGCAGGUGGAAUUCCCGGUGUAGCGGUGGAAUGCGUAGAGAUCGGGAAGAACAUCAGUGGCGAAGGCGGCCUGCUGGGCUGUUGCUGACGCUGAGGCGCGGCAGCGUGGGGGGCAAACAGG
rnacentral:rRNA from 1 species